CAUAACGACUCUCGGCAACGGAUAUCUCGGCUCUCGCAUCGAUGAAGAACGCAGCGAAAUGCGAUACUUGGUGUGAAUUGCAGAUCCCGUGAACCAUCGAGUCUUUGAACGCAAGUUGCGCCCGAAGCCAUCCGGUCGAGGGCACGUCUGCCUGGGCGUCACACACC
rnacentral:rRNA from 1 species